rnacentral:rRNA from 1 species
GCUUACGCAUGCAGUCGUGGGGCAGCAUAAGGGUAGCAAUACUCUGGUGGCGACCGGCAAACGGGUGCGGAACACGUACGCAACCUUCCUCAAAGCGGGGGAUAGCCUCUCGAAAGAGAGAUUAAUACCCCAUAGUAUCUUGAAACUGCAUGGUUUUAAGAUUAAAGCUCCGGCACUUUGAGAUGGGCGUGCGGCUGAUUAGGUAGUUGGUAGGGUAACGGCCUACCAAGCCAACGAUCAGUAGCUGAUGUGAGAGCAUGAUCAGCCACACGGGCACUGAGACACGGGCCCGACUCCUACGGGAGGCAGCAGUGAGGAAUAUUGGUCAAUGGAGGCAACUCUGAACCAGCCAUGCCGCGUGAAGGAUGAAGGUCCUCUGGAUUGUAAACUUCUUUUAUUGGGGAAGAAACCCGCUUUUUCUAAGGCGGUUGACGGUACCCUAGGAAUAAGCACCGGCUAACUCCGUGCCAGCAGCCGCGGUAAUACGGAGGGUGCGAGCGUUAUCCGGAUUCACUGGGUUUAAAGGGUGCGUAGGUGGGUUGGUAAGUCAGUGGUGAAAUCCUCGAGCUUAACUCGAGAACUGCCGUUGAUACUACCAGUCUUGAAUUCUGUGGGGUAAGCGGAAUAUGUCAUGUAGCGGUGAAAUGCUUAGAUAUGACAUAGAACACCGAUAGCGAAGGCAGCUUACUACGCAGAU